rnacentral:rRNA from 2 species
UACGUAGGGGGCGAGCGUUGUCCGGAAUUACUGGGCGUAAAGGGCGCGCAGGCGGCCGUGUAAGUCCGCUGUGAAAGACCGGGGCUCAACCCCGGGGUGUCAGCGGGGACUGCACGGCUGGAGUCCCGGAGAGGGAGGCGGAAUACCUGGUGUAGCGGUGGAAUGCGUAGAGAUCAGGUGGAACACCGAUGGCGAAGGCAGCCUCCUGGACGGGUACUGACGCUGAGGCGCGAAAGCGUGGGGAGCGAACGGG